UACAGAGGUCUCAAGCGUUGUUCGGAUUCAUUGGGCGUAAAGGGUGCGUAGGCGGCGCGGUAAGUCGGGUGUGAAAUCUCGGAGCUUAACUCCGAAACUGCAUUCGAUACUGCCGUGCUUGAGGACUGGAGAGGAGACUGGAAUUUACGGUGUAGCGGUGAAAUGCGUAGAUAUCGUAAGGAAGACCAGUGGCGAAAGCGGCUCUCUGGGGACCACCUGACGCUGAGGCGCGAAAGCGUGGGGAGCGAACCGG
rnacentral:rRNA from 1 species